CUAAAGUUACAUUGACCACAGAGUACUUUGAAUAUACAGGUAUAGAGUAAUCAGUCAGACUUUUCAGUUGCAGCGCCAUCUCUUGUUAAUUUAUCGAGUUAUAAAACUUCACAAUACACCUUUAAGUAGGUAUACUGUUUAAGUAGGUUCGUUUCGUACCUAGCUACAUUGUUGCUAAUUUCGUUGUUUAAAAAUCAAUUUUUCUUGAUUGAGCCAUUUCCAUUAUACCAUGGGUUAGUGUAAAUCUGUAUUGUAAAUCACAUACAAUAUAAAACAUGGUGUAAUGAAAACAGCUAAAUGUAUUUCAAAUAAAACAAUAACAUAACUUUAA